rnacentral:rRNA from 1 species
AGAGUUUGAUCCUGGCUCAGGAUGAACGCUGGCGGCGUGCCUAAUACAUGCAAGUCGAGCGAACAGACGAGGAGCUUGCUCCUCUGACGUUAGCGGCGGACGGGUGAGUAACACGUGGAUAACCUACCUAUAAGACUGGGAUAACUUCGGGAAACCGGAGCUAAUACCGGAUAACAUGUUGAACCGCAUGGUUCAACAGUGAAAGACGGUCUUGCUGUCACUUAUAGAUGGAUCCGCGCCGCAUUAGCUAGUUGGUAAGGUAACGGCUUACCAAGGCAACGAUGCGUAGCCGACCUGAGAGGGUGAUCGGCCACACUGGAACUGAGACACGGUCCAGACUCCUACGGGAGGCAGCAGUAGGGAAUCUUCCGCAAUGGGCGAAAGCCUGACGGAGCAACGCCGCGUGAGUGAAGAAGGUCUUCGGAUCGUAAAACUCUGUUAUUAGGGAAGAACAAAUGUGUAAGUAACUAUGCACGUCUUGACGUAU